GCUGGGCAUGGUGGCACAUGCCUGUAGUCCCAGCUACUUGGGAGGCUGAGGCGGGAGGAUCGCUUGAGCCUAGGAGUUCUCUAGCAGGAUCAGGUGUCCGCACCAAGUUUGGCAUCAACAUGGUGACCUCCCAGGAGCAGGGAACCACCAGGUUGCCCAAGGAGGGGUGAGCUGGCCCAGGUUAGAAACAGAGCAGGUCAAAACUCCUGUGCUGAUCAGAAAGUUAAAGUAUAUUUUCUUAACCUCAGUUUCCUCAUGUGGAAAAUGAAACCUACCUCUG
rfam:Gorilla gorilla gorilla genomic chromosome, chr3, whole genome shotgun sequence